GCUACGUUCGGAAAGGAUAACCGCUGAAAGCAUCUAAGCGGGAAGCCUGCUUCGAGAUGAGUAUUCCCACCCUCUUGAAGGGUUAAGGCUCCCAGUAGACGACUGGGUUGAUAGGCCAGAUGUGGAAGCCCGGUAACGGGUGGAGCUGACUGGUACUAAUAGGCCGAGGGCUUGUCCUCAGUUG
rnacentral:rRNA from 1 species